rnacentral:misc_RNA from 1 species
CUUGGUCAUGAGGAAGUAAAAGUCGUAACAAGGUAUCCGUAGGUGAACCUGCGGAUGGAUCAUUAACGUCAUUGAAAGUAACGGACGAAAGUCUGUUAUCUUUUAAUAAUGUACACCCUUGUGGUGAAUAUAGGAAAUUUUCAUUAAUAGUUAUUGGUAGGCAUGUUUCUUUCGGGAGACGUGUAUGCCGAUGCUAUUAGUAUUAAAGACACUAUUUUAUUAUAAUUACUGAAGUAACCUUGUGAAUCUAAAGCAUUAUAUUUUAUUAUAAUUGAUUUAUUACCAAGUAAAACAAUAAUUAAUCUUAUACAACUGCUAGCAACGGAUCACUCGGCUCUC